GACAAGAUUUGAAUUAGUAGCCAUGCAAAAAUAAAAAUGAACAAGAUCAUCAGUGUUAGUACAUACAAUAUUUACAGCUCUGCUAGCAUUGAACUGUUCAUGCUAAUGUUGUAAAGAAGUUAAUAUACAAUAGCUUAAACACAUUAUUAGGAAGUUAUUACAGUCAUCAUCCAUUAACAGUUAUCAGAUGUUAGCUCUUCUAUAUAAAUAAUUAAAAACAAGGCUGAACACAAGGGAGCAGGCAGUCCAUGCAUAUAUGGCUUCAUCUCACCAUUAACUAUGUGACAUACAAGAAAUCAUGAUACUAUUCAUACCUUAAAAAAUCUAAACUGUGAAAGUCAGCCACGCAGUAUUAGUUCAUGAGAAUGUAUUAAAAUGCUAUUGUUAAGCAAUACUGAAUUAGUAAUUCUGAUAAGGAGUAGCAAUAUAAAAAAGUUAUAAAAUGCUUAUAACUGAAGUGGAUGAAAAUCUUGGGGAUAUAGGAAAGAUUACUGAAAAUGUUUUUACCUUUGAAUCUUUAAGCUUUUGAAAAUAAGAAAUUACAAAGGUGUGCUUUAAAAUACUGGCAUUUCAGAGAUAAGACAUUGCCAAUGAUAUUGCCAAGUUUAUAGCAAACAGAAAACUAUACCAUUUAAGAAUAUUAUUUUUGAUAAAUGAGGGUUCAUAGGCUUUUACUUUCUAUUCCUAUCAUCUGUACUGAUGGGGAAAAAAUCUACCUGUAAAUGUUUAAAAUUUUAUUUUUUGGUAUGUGUUUCCCAAUUUAUGGUGACAUCUCUCUCCUUUCAAAGGAUCAACUAUUCCUAUCUGCAAUACACAGUAUCAGAAGACAGUACAAAAUGAACGUUACUGUAUUUAUUCGACUUCCAUCGUUGUGUACGUCUACACUACCCGCCGGAUCUAUCUAUUGGGGAUCGAUGUAUCGUGUCUCGUCUAGAUGCGAUACAUCAAUCCCUGAAUGCACUCCCUGUCGACUCUGGAACUCCACUAGGGCGAGAGACAGAAGCGGAGUUGAUGGGGGAGCGGCGGCCAUCGAUCCCACACCGCAAGGACGCAAAUAGGCCCAAGGCGGUGUACGUGGACAGAAGGAGCGUCACGUGAUCCCUCACCUGAGACUGGGAGGUGCCCUUGACAAGCCAAUCAUCCAGAUAUUUCCCUAUCUGUACCCCCUUACCAUGAACAUGCAUUUUGUAAACACCCUGGGGGCAGUGGACUGCCCAAACAGAAGGACCGUAAAUUGGUAAUGAUUCUGUCUCAUCACAAAAUGGAGGAAGCGCCUGUGCCCCUUGAAUAUGUGGAUGUAGAAGUACACAUCCUGUAGAUCGAGGGCAGCAUAAUGGUCCCUGGGAUCCAGGGAGCGGAUGAUGGAGGCCAGGGAGACCAUGCGGAACUUGAGUUUCCCCAUGUGCUGGUUCAGAACCCAGAGGUCCAGUAUGGGCCUGAGACCCCCUUUGGCCUUGGGAUAAGGAAAUAAUGGGAGUAGUACGCCUUUCCCAUGAACUCCUCAGG